AACGAACGCUGGCGGCAUGCCUAACACAUGCAAGUCGAACGUGACCUUCGGGUCUUUUGGCCCCCGAGUUUGUCACGCGUGGGAACCUUCCCUUAGGUUUGGCAUAACUCUCCGACAGGGGUGCCUAUACCGGACCAUGUCUUCUGACCAAGGAUUUAUCGCCUUUGGAUGGUCCCUCGUUGGAUUAGCUAGUUGGUAGGGUAAAAGCUUACCAAGGCGCCGAUUCAUAGCUGGUCUGAGAGGAUGCUCAGCCACUCUGAGACUGGGACCCGGCCUAGACUCCUACGGGAGGCAGCAGAGGGGAAUAGUGGAACAUGGGCGAAAGGCUGAUGCAGCAAUGCCGCGAAAGUGAUGAAGGCCGUAGGGUAGUAAAGCUCAUUUAACCGGGAUGAUAAUGACGGUACCGGGAGAGUAAGCUCCGGCUAACUACGUG
rnacentral:rRNA from 1 species